UAAGGUCUCCACCUAAUUUUGACAGCUUCUCCUCAAUUUCUUCUUUCUCGUCGUCUCAAGUUAAGCUCGAUAAAACUUUUGCUAGUUGCCACUUUCAAAUCCUUUCUUUCUCUCGAUGGAGUUGGUGAUAGAUCGUACACUUGCCCUUCAUAUGGAUUCCCAAAUUCCUUUUUCUCGUGACUUUCUUGAAUUCUCAAUUUCCUCUUCCUCGUGACUUUCUUCUUCUCCUCCUCCGAUUGUAACAAUACUUGCCCCAAGAAACAAUCCUUGUCCCCAAGGAUCAAACUAGGAAACUGCAUAUGAAGGAUGAAGUAAUCCUCCCAAGUGUCAUGUGAUUCAUCAAGAUUUAUCCAUCGCACAAGUAACUAAGUCAAAGGUGGAGUUGUGGAGUCACCAAUACACUUCUUCAAUAAGCUCACAUGUAAAACGGGAUGUAUUCGAGAAGUUUCAGGUAUCCUCCUUUGGUUUGUUCUUGUUCCCUGGCCCGAUUCCUUCAUAUCAGGUGGGAAAAUGGAUGUCCAAAACCUUGAAGUUGUUGAAAGUCCCGAGAAUUUGUUACCAGAGAAAUUUGAAUUCCACAAGACUGUAGCGGAUAAAUUGUUUGGAUCGGGGUUCGAGAACCUUAUGAUCCUCACAAAACCUGUAAAAUAUUUUUAAAGGCUUAACAACAACAGCGGUGGGGCGUAUGAUGAAGACGAAAGAUGCUUUAGAUUUGGACAGGAUAAUUCUUUAAAACUAUUUAUGGGAUUGGGCGAUGUUCUCAGAAUUACCGAUCUACCCAUAGACGAUAAACCUAUUGUAGAAAACGAAAAAGGCCUGGAUGUCAAGAAGUUGUGUAUGGAAAAUUGCUUUGGAAAAAAUAAGAAUGAAAUUACAAUGACGUGGCUCCGUGAAAAUUUUGAGAGCUUGAAUGAAGAUAAACUCAAAGGCGUUUAUAUCAGAGGUUAUACCGAAGGUUGCAACUUGGUUGCUAAAACACAUGGGAGAAGUAUCUACAGAUGAAAUAGACCGAGAUAUGCAAAAUCGUCCAGAUAACUUCAUUUUGAUGGUUGGUUGGCAUGAUAAGCUGUAUAAUGCAUCCAUGGAUAAAAGAAACCGACGGCCUUGUUCUCUAUUUCGUAAAUAUUUUAGAAGGUUAACGGAAAAUGCUGUUGAAUGGACACCAUAUGCUAGGCUACCCAUAGAAUUCUUGUCUCUCAUAUAUCGUGAUCCCCCCUAGAAUGUGCUUUCACAUCUAUUAUAUUUAUGGAGAAGGCAGUCUUCCAUGAUCCUGCUGUCUCGAUACAAAAGCAACUGCAUGCAUCUCAUAAUAUUCGAGUCUUUAAGAAGGCUUCCAUUUCUCUCCACAAAAUAUAUAAUGAUCGUCAAAGUAAAAGAUCUAGGAAAAGACGUAAGCAAAAUUGGAACGAUGUUUGCAAGCAAUUCAAAUCAUACUGGGAGAAUCGUUGGAUAUCUUUGUAUCUUAAAGGUAAUCUUGUGUCCCCUAUGGCUUCCUUUUUUCUUGUUUAUUUCUUCCUUUAUAUUCUUUUUUUUAUUUUUUUGGAAAGUUCAUAUAUAGAAAAGAUGAGUAGUAAGGUCAGGGACAGUUGCAACAUCUGGGGCAGGAUGAGUCGAAUGCACCUGCAGCACAUGAUAUCCACAUGGAGCCGAACGAUCUAGGGGAUGAUGAGCUCAUAGGGGAGGAGGGUCUAGGGCUGGAUGAGCCCAUUUCACCUCUGGAACAUAAUGUCCCCAAGGAGCGGGAGGAUCCAGGUGAUGAUGAGCUCAUGGGAGAGGAGGGUCUGAGGCAGGAUAAGCCCAUUUCACCUCUGAGACUUGAUGUUACCAUUGAGCAAGAGGGUUCGGGGGAUGAUGAGCUCAUGGGGGAGGAGGUUCUGAGGCAGGAUGAACCCAUUUCACCUCUAGAACAUAAUGUCCCCAAGGAGCAUGAGGAUCCGGGUGAUGAUGUGCUCAUGGAAGAGGAGGGUUUGGGCUAGGAUUAGCCCAGUUCACCUCUGGAACAUAAUGUCCCCAUGGAGCCGGAGGAUACAAGGGAUGACAUGCUAAUAGGGGAGGAGGGUCUGGAGGAACAGAUGAAUCAUUAUGCACCUCCGGGUCAUGAUGUCCCCAUGGAGAGUCAUCGAGGCUGCAUAUCUAAGAAGCAUACUGGUAAUGUCUCUCAAGAAAAUAUCCUUCCCAAUAACCAAAAAAGAAAAAGAUGACCUCCAUGUUGAUUAAUGAAAUUUAUUGUGUUAAAUCCAUAGAAGAAGAAGAAUUGGGUCACUAUUUGAUUCUUCUGUGUGGUUGUAAAGGUAGAAUAUUUUUUUGCUGUUGCUUAUAAAGGUUGAAUUUCUUGUUCUGCCUAUGGUUAUUAGUAAGUUGUUUUCUAAUUAUUGGUGAUUUAGUGACAGUAUUUGAAGAUGUUGACAUUUUCUGUGCUAGUCGUGAAGCUAAGGAAUAUCUUCAUUGGGUGACUGUUGCAGCUGGUGGAAUCAUACAAACACCUAUUAACAGCAUAAUUGAUGAGCCCCUGUUUUAUUCUUUUUCUUUGGAUGA